rnacentral:rRNA from 1 species
UGGGGAAUCUUAGACAAUGGGGAACCCUGAUCUAGCCAUGCCGCGUGAGCGAUGAAGGCCUUAGGGUUGUAAAGCUCUUUUCAGCUGGGAAGAUAAUGACGGUACCAGCAGAAGAAGCCCCGGCUAACUCCGUGCCAGCAGCCGCGGUAAUACGGAGGGGGCUAGCGUUGUUCGGAAUUACUGGGCGUAAAGCGCACGUAGGCGGAUUAGUCAGUCAGAGGUGAAAUCCCAGGGCUCAACCCUGGAACUGCCUUUGAUACUGCUAGUCUUGAGGUCGAGAGAGGUGAGUGGAAUUCCGAGUGUAGAGGUGAAAUUCGUAGAUAUUCGGAGGAACACCAGUGGCGAAGGCGGCUCACUGGCUCGAUACUGACGCUGAGGUGCGAAAGCGUGGGGAGCAAAACAGGAUUAGAUACCCUGGUAGUCCACGCCGUAAACGAUGAAUGCCAGUCGUCGGGUUGCAUGCAAUUCGGUGACACACCUAAACGGAUUAAAGCAUUCCGCCUGGGGAGUACGGUCGCAAAGAUUAAAACUCAAAGGAAUUGACGGGGGUCAUAGCUGUUUUCCUG